rnacentral:ncRNA from 1 species
GAUUAAGGUACAAAGUUUUAUGCUUUGUUUAAAAGGGAAAUAAGUGAAAGUCUUAUACGGUCCCGCCGCUGUAAUGAGGAGAAUUACUUUAAAUUAGUGCCACUGAUUUAAAUUGGGAAGGCUAAAGUAAUUUUAUGAUUCAGAGUCAGAAGACCUGCCUUGAUUUAUA